AUUGAACGCUGGCGGCAGGCCUAACACAUGCAAGUCGAACGAGUGGCGGACGGGUGAGUAAUGUCUGGGAAACUGCCUGAUGGAGGGGGAUAACUACUGGAAACGGUAGCUAAUACCGCAUACCAUCGGAUGUGCCCAGAUGGGAUUAGCUAGUAGGUGGGGUAAAGGCUCACCUAGGCGACGAUCCCUAGCUGGUCUGAGAGGAUGACCAGACACACUGGAACUGAGACACGGUCCAGACUAAUACGGGAGGCAGCAGUGGGGAAUGUUGCACAAGGGGCGAAAGCCUGAUGCAGCCAUGCCGCGUGUAUGAAGAAGGCCGUCGGGUUGUAAAGUACUUUCAGCGGGGAAGCGUUACCCGCAGAAGAAGCACCGGCUAACUCCGUGCCAGCAGCCGCGGUAAUUC
rnacentral:rRNA from 1 species